GACUGGAUAGCCUAGUGGUAAAGGCAUCACUCCUAGUAAAGUGGCUUAGCUAAUGCUGAGGUCCCAGGUUGGAAUCCUGGUCUAGUCA
rnacentral:tRNA from 2 species